rnacentral:rRNA from 3 species
UACAUGCAAGUCGAGCGAACUGAUUAGAAGCUUGCUUCUAUGACGUUAGCGGCGGACGGGUGAGUAACACGUGGGCAACCUGCCUGUAAGACUGGGAUAACUUCGGGAAACCGAAGCUAAUACCGGAUAGGAUCUUCUCCUUCAUGGGAGAUGAUUGAAAGAUGGUUUCGGCUAUCACUUACAGAUGGGCCCGCGGUGCAUUAGCUAGUUGGUGAGGUAACGGCUCACCAAGGCAACGAUGCAUAGCCGACCUGAGAGGGUGAUCGGCCACACUGGGACUGAGACACGGCCCAGACUCCUACGGGAGGCAGCAGUAGGGAAUCUUCCGCAAUGGACGAAAGUCUGACGGAGCAACGCCGCGUGAGUGAUGAAGGCUUUCGGGUCGUAAAACUCUGUUGUUAGGGAAGAACAAGUACGAGAGUAACUGCUCGUACCUUGACGGUACCUAACCAGAAAGCCACGGCUAACUACGUGCCAGCAGCCGCGGUAAUACGUAGGUGGCAAGCGUUAUCCGGAAUUAUUGGGCGUAAAGCGCGCGCAGGCGGUUUCUUAAGUCUGAUGUGAAAGCCCACGGCUCAACCGUGGAGGGUCAUUGGAAACUGGGGAACUUGAGUGCAGAAGAGAAAAGCGGAAUUCCACGUGUAGCGGUGAAAUGCGUAGAGAUGUGGAGGAACACCAGUGGCGAAGGCGGCUUUUUGGUCUGUAACUGACGCUGAGGCGCGAAAGCGUGGG